AUUUGGCGGUGAUGAUACAACUUCUCAGCUUAACAUGCCAGUUCUGCUUCUGAGAAUUCAUGACAGAGAAAGCUGAUUUACAUCUGAGCCUUGU